rnacentral:RNase_P_RNA from 1 species
GCAAGCCGAAGAGCAGCCACCGGUUUCCCUUUUUUAGGGUUUAAACUGAGGAAACUCCACUCAUCAUACAGAACCGCGGUACUGUGAGGUACUUGCUGAGAAGUUAGACUCUGGAGCAGAAACGACACGUCUUUUAAUGAAUGAACAUGAUGCUUUCUCGAAAAAGUUGAAAGACAUUAAAAGGAACGGUGAAACGGCCAAUCCGUGGGAUGCAAGGGCAAAAUGCUGCUGUUGACUAACUGUACGAGGCAGAGGUAGUCCGCCUAGAUGAAUGCUGCUGAAACAGAAAGUGGGUUACUCCCGGCAUGC